AGCCACAGCCGGGGCUGCAGCGUGUCCCUGUCCCCGGGCGGCUCCUCCUGGAAGGGUUUCUGCAGGCCCUGGAGCUCUCCAGGGUGGGCAAAAGGCACGGGCAGCAGUGGGAGGACAAGGACAGGAGGCAGGGAUGAAGCAGAGUUAGAGGGAGGGAUGUGAAUCUCUCUGUCUUUGCCUUGUGGGGUUCUCAGGCACGGCUUCUCCUGGAAGGCCAUCGGAUCCAGCAGGCAUGGAUCGUGCUGGUUCACCCUGGAGGUGAUUUUUGGGAAAGGGUCUAAACUUCCAAGCUACUUAUAGAGAAGGCAGAGCCUCCAAAUUUUCCCUGGACAUCCAGGGCAAGUAAGCUGAGGCAUGGAUGGUGCUGGCUCACUGUAGCAGUGAUUUUUUGGAAAGGAUCUAAACCUUCAAGUUACUUAUAGGGAAGGCAGAGCCUCCAAAUUUUCCCUGGACAUCCAGGGCAAGUAAGCUGAGGCAUGUGGGAAGGGAAGCCCUUACUGAACGGGGCUGGUCCUGUGGAAACCACGAGGGAAGGAGCGUGGAGGUGGCACAGACAUGGGAAGAGGGAUGGCACUGGCACGGCAGGAGGACUGGCGUGCCCUCUGUGCCUCCCAACCCCCUCUGGCCAGCCUCGCCCUUGGCCUCCAAGCUCCCCUGGGAAUUUCUUCCCGUCCUCGGUGCUUGUGGAGGAGAUUGUUUUGAGCAGCUCAGACUGUGGAGCUCAUUGUCCCCCAUGCAACACCUGCAUGUUCUUGAGGCCUCGUCAUCUCAGCAACAGCCUGUGGGGCCUUGUUGUCACCCGUCUGUGGCAGAGGAGGAGGGGAGAGGCAAAGUGACCUCUUUGUGUGGCUCUGCUGCUCGCUGGCAGCCAGCACUGACAUCAUGCCCGUCUUCUUUCUUCUUCUUCUUCUUUUUUUUCAAGUGGGCGCUGAAUAUAGCUGCACACUCGGAAGGGCUGUCCUCUGGAUGCUCCUUCCAUGCAAGUCAUCCCACCUCCAUCACCUUGUGGUUAGCACAAGUCCACACAUCCCAAAUCUGAGGGAUUGAGUCCAAGGGGCCUGUGCAGUUUAAGAGCACAGCUGGAAGUCCUAACAUCAGCUUUAAAGGGCCAGUCCAGAACAUUCCAAUCAUGAACAGCCAUGCUGGAAUGUGAUCUUCAUCCCUGCCCUGGAACCUUGAGUCACAUAGUUGGGCUUGGAGAAGUGACAGAAAAGGUGGAGGUUUUCUCCCUGUGAAUGAAAUUUUAGUGCUGGAGGAGUCUGCUCUGCCCUGCCCAGGAUGGGGAGGCCCAGCAGAGCUGCACUUUGCCACAAAAGCCACAAGAUUUUGGUUCCAGUCAAGGAGAGCUAUGCUGCAGGUCAGCCCUCCUUGCAUGGCUGCAGGUGUGGGGGCAGGAGGACUGUCCCUAAAAAUCCCAGAGGGAAAGAGGAUGACAGGACCAAAGGCAGCAAAUUCCAGUGACACUGUUGGGUACCACUGUAUUAGAACAAGUGAAAUCCUUUGUGCUGCAGUGUCCCACCAGGGUUUGGUGUCUGGUGUGCCACUAUCCCAUCCCAUCACGCUGCAGUGGGACACCAGGGAGGAGAGCAGGUGUGAGGGGAUGAUGGAGAGUUGUGGUGCUGCACAAACCAGGUCCCCCUCUGCCUCAGCACACGGCUUUCCAGCUAGGCAGAUCCUGUGAGGAAAGGAAGCCUGAGAGAUCACAUCUCUCACAUUUGUGUCAUGGAGACAUUGGCAGACAAAUUAUCUUUGGGUCAGAUUUAGACCAUAUCUUAUUGAUUUUCACUCCUGUGAGCUCUCAAGCACCUACAGGUGAAAGAUUUACUGGUGUUGCUGAUGCCCUGAAUGAUCUGGGCUGGGAUCAGCAGCCUGGUCACAAUGUUUUAGUCACAAUUACAAUAAUGCUCUUUUUGUCAGAUCAAAAAUGAAGAAUAAAUAAGCUUCUUUUGCUCCUAGGUUGCUUUUUUUAAAUAAAGGAAAGAGGAAACCAACCCACAUUUAUAUUUACGAAGCCCAUUUUUUUCCAGGCCCAUCAGCAAGACAGUCCCUUUGGAAGAAGAAUAAUGUACAGAGUUUAGGACUUUGACAUUAUUUAAGCUGAUUAAUGAUCUGUUAGCUGCAAGAUGAGGUGUCAGCAUUCCAGAGCAGUUAACAAGCAUGGAUCAGGCUCUGGAAGAUACAACACUGAGUUAAAAUCCAUUAUAUUCUAGAAGUAGCAUGCCCUGGACUGUUUUUAUUCACCCUCCAGCCACUGAACUCUCACUCAUGGUUUCCACAACCUCACAGGCUCCAGACUUUUCCUCUUAGGGGAGAGCAACAUCCAGAGCUCUGGUUAAAAGAAAAUGGCCCCCAAAACACUCCUUAAUGCAGCAGAAAUAGGGAGUGGGGAUGCAAAUAGGGAAGCUGGCCCCAAGGCAAACUUCACUUGCUGCUCAGGGAAGGGAUGGCAGUUUGUCACUGAAAUUUGGUAUAAGGGAAAACAGGGAUUGAAACACAGCACAGAGCCAAAAAGAAAAUAAAAGAAUAAAUACAUAUAGAAAAAACUGAAAAGUUGCCAGGAAAAUAAUGGGCUCAGAUAUUCCAUUGAUUUUUCUGUCCACUGAUAAUCACAGGCUGCCUGAGUGCAACCUGUGUGCACGCCCUGCUGUUUUGCUGCUGAUGUGUUUAUGGCUUUGUUUGAUCCUAUCUGACCAAGAGAAUUGAUUUAUGGCUGAAAACAGCCGUCAGCAGAGGUUUGCUCUGAGCUGGUGUGAAAAUAUUUCACACUAUGGUGUUGAUGGAAAAUCCCUGGCCCAGCCCGUGUUGUUGAUACUAAUUUGGAGGACCACUUGCUGGUAACCGAGGGGACAUUUUCCCAGUGGAGGAGAGGGACCCAGACACUGGAAAAUAGAUGAAAUAUAUGUUAGUGGGAAUUGCUACUAUAAAAUAAGCCAUUGGGUACUAAGUAAAGGGUGUUAAUGAGUUUUCCUGAAGACUGCCUGAGGUUUACUUGUAAAACCAUAGUUAUUAAGAUAAAAAGACUGCCUUGAAUGCAGAAAAAAAAAUGUUAUCUAUUUUAUUCAACUAAAUGCUUUGAAAGAGAAAUCCAUGUGACUUUGAGUCAGCAAUUCGGAAUAGUUAAAUUUAGAUGUGAAAGAAAAGUAUUCUUUCUUCUGCAAAAAGCCUUUAACUUACUGUUAAGGAAUUUGGCAGGGACUCACUGUCCCUUGGGUUAGAACAAUCCUGUUCCCUCUCUCCCAGCUCCCCAAGCACCUUCUGUGCUUCUUGUCUCUGUGCACGUCCUUCUGACUCCAACACAUCUCUGAUGUUGAGUAUUAAGGGUUUCAGCUCAGCAGACUGAGCUACUGCAAAUCCACACUUAAAAAAGACUUGGAAACACUGGGAGCUGGGAUGUGUCCCUGUGGAUUCACAGCAAUCUGAUGGAGCAAGGACAUUCAUGCCAUGCAGUGCUGAGAGGGUUUUUUAGGAUGAGGCAGUGGCUUUUACAAGAUUGCCUACUCCAGCUGCAAAAAGCAGGCAGGAUUUCCACACAUGUGCCCCAAACCAGGCUUGUUUUCCCAACUGAAUUGGCUGCUCUAAUAGAAAAUAUUCCUUCUCUUUGCAGACCGUCUUUUAUUUUUCUGCUAGACUAUAUUGGCUGCAGCAGCUCUACUGUCUGAAGAUUUCUCGUGUAGAGAGAGGCAAAGGAUGUCCUGACAUUAGCGCAAGAGAAGGGAAAACAAUUUCUAUCUACACUUCUUUUCCAUGUAGGCAGCCAUUUUAGAACUUGAAAGUCGCCCUAAAACCCCCUUUCCAAUCUCUUUGGAAAAGGUUUCCUGUCAAAUCUUUUUGGUUUCUUGUCAAAUCACCUUUUUUUUUUUCAGCCUUUCCCUGUGGUACAACCAGAAUAAAAUUUGAGCCCACAGAGAGACAUUGCAAUUGCUGACUGUCCUUUUCCCAUCCCCUCGGAGGAUUUACAGCCCAGCCUAAUCUAUGCAGAGCGAUGAAGCCCAGUCCUGUUCCAGGGCAUUCCUCUUGCUCAGCAACGGGGUCACUGGUGACUGAUGGCAGCUGGUGGCCUCCGAGGACAGAGAGGUCGAGUGAACCCAUGCAAAGUCCUUGGCUUGUGUUUCUGGCAUUGUCAGCAUUAAAAUAAGGUGUUUUACAUGUAGUGGAACCACAUGCACAAGAGAAGCCAUUGUGUGAGCAUCCCUGAGAGCUCUUCUCACCCCAGUGCAAGUGUUUUCUUCGGUCCUGUCUUGUGGGGGAGGGUCUGGAGAGAUAAGGGUCUUAUAGUCUAUAGACAAAUAUAUAUAUAUAUUUACUGCUGACAGAGAAAGAAAAGAUGAUUGUGUUUUUUCGGACAACAAAGCAGUUUUGUUUGCAGAGCCCAUUAGAAUGCUUUGUGGAUUCCCAACUGAUACAUUUUUGUUUUAAAGCGUUGGAGGUUCAUGAGCUGUUUGCAGGACCACUCCACAUGCAGGAGAAAUGCUCUUCUCCCCUCCCUGCUUUCUCCAAAAUUCCUUCCAAAGCUGCGGGGCCCUUCCUUUGAGGAGGCCCAAAAUUAUUUCUGGCUUUAUAAGCAUCCUUCAAAUGUUCUUCUCUUUUCCAUAAGAAAAUAUUUUCUCUCACAAUAACUACAGCUUUGGGGAUGGGUUUUUUGCUGUACCGGCCAGGAGCUACGGUUUGUUCUCUGCUUUAACUAAACAAUUUUAUUUUUACUCUCACCCCUUUCUUUUUCCCUCUUGCAACCUUAACUUUCUGACACUGCCUCCAGAUACCUUUUAACACGGUCGGUGGAAAUCUGUAACGCUGCCAUGGUCCUGUUAUUGUUUUGCUCUGAUUCUCUGAUAGCCACAAGGAUGGAGUCCUGCACAGCUUGUCCCGGAGGCAAGUAAAUAUUGACAGAUUAAUUCUUCUCAGAUGUACAGGCCAUCAAGGAGUAUUGUUUUAGGACCUGCUCCUGGGAGGUGAUUAACACCAUCAACUCCCGUUGCCCUCAGUGCAUGUGGGGACUCUGUGGGGACUGUCUCCCUCACAUGUCACCUCACAGCACCACUGCAGCUGCCUUCUGGCUUUUUGUGGAAAAACCCCCUCUGGAAUAUCAAGUAAAAAGUGAAGCCUGCAGUCAUUUUUUGACCCACUGUAGUCCUUAGGUAGGAUCCUGUUUUCUCUUCUGCA